GAGAUAAGUGCUGAAAGCAUCUAAGCACGAAACUUGCCCCGAGAUGAGUUCUCCCUGAGACUUUAGAUCUCCUGAAGGAACGUUGAAGACGACGACGUUGAUAGGCCGGGUGUGUAAGCGCAGCGAUGCGUUGAGCUAACCGGUACUAAUGAACCGUGAGGCUUAACCUUACAACGCCGAAG
rnacentral:rRNA from 2 species